GACGAACGCUGGCGGCGUGCUUAACACAUGCAAGUCGAACGGUGAAGGUGGAGCUUACUCCGCCGGAUCAGUGGCGAACGGGUGAGUAACACGUGGGCAACCUGCCCCUGACUUCGGGAUAACUCCUCGAAAGAGGUGCUAAUACCGGAUACGAAUCCUGCAGGCAUCUGCGGGAUUGGAAAGUUUUUCGGUCAGGGAUGGGCCCGCGGCCUAUCAGCUUGUUGGUGAGGUAGUGGCUCACCAAGGCGACGACGGGUAGCCGGCCUGAGAGGGGGACCGGCCACACUGGGACUGAGACACGGCCCAGACUCCUACGGGAGGCAGCGGUGGGGAAUAUUGCGCAAUGGGCGAAAGCCUGACGCAGCAACGCCGCGUGAGGGAUGACGGCCUUCGGGUUGUAAACCUCUUUCAGCAGGGAAGAAGCGAAAGUGACGGUACCUGCAGAAGAAGCACCGGCUAACUACGUGCCAGCAGCCGCCGCGG
rnacentral:rRNA from 1 species